AGUCGAACGAUUAAAGCUCUCUUCGGAGAGUGCAUAGAGUGGCGCACGGGUGAGUAACACGUAAGUAAUCUACCUUCGAGUGGGGAAUAACGUCCGGAAACGGACGCUAAUACCGCAUAAUGCAGCGGCAUCGCAAGAUGACAGUUGUUAAAGGAGCAAUCCGCUUGAAGAGGAGCUUGCGGCAGAUUAGCUUGUUGGUAAGGUAACGGCUUACCAAGGCUACGAUCUGUAACCGGUCUAAGAGGACGGUCGGUCACACUGACACUGAAUAACGGGUCAGACUCCUACGGGAGGCAGCAGUCGGGAAUUUUGGGCAAUGGGGGAAACCCUGACCCAGCAACGCCGCGUGAAGGAUGAAGUAUUUCGGUAUGUAAACUUCGAAAGAAUAGGAAGAAUAAAUGACGGUACUAUUUAUAAGGUCCGGCUAACUACGUGCCAGCAGCCGCGGUAAUACGUAGGGACCAAGCGUUGUUCGGAUUUACUGGGCGUAAAGGGCGCGUAGGCGGCAUGACAAGUCACUUGUGAAAUCUCUGGGCUUAACCCAGAACGGCCAAGUGAUACUGUCGCGCUAGAGUGCAGAAGGGGCAAUCGGAAUUCUUGGUGUAGCGGUGAAAUGCGUAGAUAUCAAGAGGAACACCUGAGGUGAAGACGGGUUGCUGGGCUGACACUGACGCUGAGGCGCGAAAGCCAGGGGAGCAAACGGGAUUAGAUACCCCGGUAGUCCUGGCCCUAACGAUGAAUACUUGGUGUCUGGAGUCUAUAUGCUCCGGGUGCCGUCGCUAACGUUUUUAGUAUUCCGCCUGGGGAGUACGCUCGCAAGAGUGAAACUCAAAGGAAUUGACGGGGACC
rnacentral:rRNA from 1 species